GGUUAAGCGACUAAGCGUACACGGUGGAUGCCCUGGCAGUCAGAGGCGAUGAAGGACGUGCUAAUCUGCGAUAAGCGUCGGUAAGGUGAUAUGAACCGUUAUAACCGGCGAUUUCCGAAUGGGGAAACCCAGUGUGAUUCGUCACACUAUCAUUAACUGAAUCCAUAGGUUAAUGAGGCGAACCGGGGGAACUGAAACAUCUAAGUACCCCGAGGAAAAGAAAUCAACCGAGAUUCCCCCAGUAGCGGCGAGCGAACGGGGAGGAGCCCAGAGCCUGAAUCAGUGUGUGUGUUAGUGGAAGCGUCUGGAAAGGCGCGCGAUACAGGGUGACAGCCCCGUACACAAAAAUGCACAUGCUGUGAGCUCGAUGAGUAGGGCGGGACACGUGGUAUCCUGUCUGAAUAUGGGGGGACCAUCCUCCAAGGCUAAAUACUCCUGACUGACCGAUAGUGAACCAGUACCGUGAGGGAAAGGCGAAAAGAACCCCGGCGAGGGGAGUGAAAAAGAACCUGAAACCGUGUACGUACAAGCAGUGGGAGCACGCUUAGGCGUGUGACUGCGUACCUUUUGUAUAAUGGGUCAGCGACUUAUAUUCUGUAGCAAGGUUAACCGAAUAGGGGAGCCGAAGGGAAACCGAGUCUUAACUGGGCGUUAAGUUGCAGGGUAUAGACCCGAAACCCGGUGAUCUAGCCAUGGGCAGGUUGAAGGUUGGGUAACACUAACUGGAGGACCGAACCGACUAAUGUUGAAAAAUUAGCGGAUGACUUGUGGCUGGGGGUGAAAGGCCAAUCAAACCGGGAGAUAGCUGGUUCUCCCCGAAAGCUAUUUAGGUAGCGCCUCGUGAAUUCAUCUCCGGGGGUAGAGCACUGUUUCGGCAAGGGGGUCAUCCCGACUUACCAACCCGAUGCAAACUGCGAAUACCGGAGAAUGUUAUCACGGGAGACACACGGCGGGUGCUAACGUCCGUCGUGAAGAGGGAAACAACCCAGACCGCCAGCUAAGGUCCCAAAGUCAUGGUUAAGUGGGAAACGAUGUGGGAAGGCCCAGACAGCCAGGAUGUUGGCUUAGAAGCAGCCAUCAUUUAAAGAAAGCGUAAUAGCUCACUGGUCGAGUCGGCCUGCGCGGAAGAUGUAACGGGGCUAAACCAUGCACCGAAGCUGCGGCAGCGACGCUGAUGCGUUGUUGGGUAGGGGAGCGUUCUGUAAGCCUGCGAAGGUGUGCUGUGAGGCAUGCUGGAGGUAUCAGAAGUGCGAAUGCUGACAUAAGUAACGAUAAAGCGGGUGAAAAGCCCGCUCGCCGGAAGACCAAGGGUUCCUGUCCAACGUUAAUCGGGGCAGGGUGAGUCGACCCCUAAGGCGAGGCCGAAAGGCGUAGUCGAUGGGAAACAGGUUAAUAUUCCUGUACUUGGUGUUACUGCGAAGGGGGGACGGAGAAGGCUAUGUUGGCCGGGCGACGGUUGUCCCGGUUUAAGCGUGUAGGCUGGUUUUCCAGGCAAAUCCGGAAAAUCAAGGCUGAGGCGUGAUGACGAGGCACUACGGUGCUGAAGCAACAAAUGCCCUGCUUCCAGGAAAAGCCUCUAAGCAUCAGGUAACAUCAAAUCGUACCCCAAACCGACACAGGUGGUCAGGUAGAGAAUACCAAGGCGCUUGAGAGAACUCGGGUGAAGGAACUAGGCAAAAUGGUGCCGUAACUUCGGGAGAAGGCACGCUGAUAUGUAGGUGAAGUCCCUCGCGGAUGGAGCUGAAAUCAGUCGAAGAUACCAGCUGGCUGCAACUGUUUAUUAAAAACACAGCACUGUGCAAACACGAAAGUGGACGUAUACGGUGUGACGCCUGCCCGGUGCCGGAAGGUUAAUUGAUGGGGUUAGCGCAAGCGAAGCUCUUGAUCGAAGCCCCGGUAAACGGCGGCCGUAACUAUAACGGUCCUAAGGUAGCGAAAUUCCUUGUCGGGUAAGUUCCGACCUGCACGAAUGGCGUAAUGAUGGCCAGGCUGUCUCCACCCGAGACUCAGUGAAAUUGAACUCGCUGUGAAGAUGCAGUGUACCCGCGGCAAGACGGAAAGACCCCGUGAACCUUUACUAUAGCUUGACACUGAACAUUGAGCCUUGAUGUGUAGGAUAGGUGGGAGGCUUUGAAGUGUGGACGCCAGUCUGCAUGGAGCCGACCUUGAAAUACCACCCUUUAAUGUUUGAUGUUCUAACGUUGACCCGUAAUCCGGGUUGCGGACAGUGUCUGGUGGGUAGUUUGACUGGGGCGGUCUCCUCCUAAAGAGUAACGGAGGAGCACGAAGGUUGGCUAAUCCUGGUCGGACAUCAGGAGGUUAGUGCAAUGGCAUAAGCCAGCUUGACUGCGAGCGUGACGGCGCGAGCAGGUGCGAAAGCAGGUCAUAGUGAUCCGGUGGUUCUGAAUGGAAGGGCCAUCGCUCAACGGAUAAAAGGUACUCCGGGGAUAACAGGCUGAUACCGCCCAAGAGUUCAUAUCGACGGCGGUGUUUGGCACCUCGAUGUCGGCUCAUCACAUCCUGGGGCUGAAGUAGGUCCCAAGGGUAUGGCUGUUCGCCAUUUAAAGUGGUACGCGAGCUGGGUUUAGAACGUCGUGAGACAGUUCGGUCCCUAUCUGCCGUGGGCGCUGGAGAAUUGAGGGGGGCUGCUCCUAGUACGAGAGGACCGGAGUGGACGCAUCACUGGUGUUCGGGUUGUCAUGCCAAUGGCACUGCCCGGUAGCUAAAUGCGGAAGAGAUAAGUGCUGAAAGCAUCUAAGCACGAAACUUGCCCCGAGAUGAGUUCUCCCUGACUCCUUGAGAGUCCUGAAGGAACGUUGAAGACGACGACGUUGAUAGGCCGGAUGUGUAAGCGCAGCGAUGCGUUGAGCUAACCGGUACUAAUGAACCGUGAGGCUUAACCUUACAACGCCGAAGGUGUUUUG
rnacentral:rRNA from 1 species